rnacentral:rRNA from 1 species
CACUUUAGCAUUACUAGUAUUAGAGGCACUGCCUGCCCAGUGACAUAUGUUUAACGGCCGCGGUAUCCUGACCGUGCAAAGGUAGCAUAAUCAUUUGUUCCUUAAUUAGGGACUUGCAUGAAUGGCUUAACGAGGGUUUAACUGUCUCUUACUUUCAAUCAGUGAAAUUGACCUUUCCGUGAAGAGGCGGAAAUAACUUAAUAAGACGAGAAGACCCUAUGGAGCUUAAAUCUAUUAAUCUAAGCACUACACUAUCAUACCUCCGGGUUAUUAAAACCCAGCUCCUAGAUUAUAAAUUUUGGUUGGGGUGACCUCGGAGUAAAAAACAACCUCCGAAUGAUCUUAAUCCAGACAUAACCAGUCUAAAUCCCUGCUCACUAAUUGACCCAAACAAUUUGAUCAACGGAACAAGUUACCCUAGGGAUAACAGCGCAAUUCUACCCAAGAGUUCAUAUCGACAGUAGAGUUUACGACCUCGAUGUUGGAUCAGGACACCCAAAUGGUGUAACCGCUAUUAAUGGUUCGUUUGUUCAACGAUUAAAGUC